GAUGAACGCUGGCGGCGUGCUUAACACAUGCAAGUCGAACGGAAAGGCCCUGCUUUUGCGGGGUGCUCGAUUGGCGAACGGGUGAGUAACACGUGAGUAACCUGCACUUGACUUUGGGAUAACUUCAGGAAACUGGGGCUAAUACCGGAUAGGAGCUCCUGCUGCACGGUGGGGGUUGGAAAGUUUCGGCUGUGGGGGAUGGACUUGCGGCGUCUCAGCUUGUUGGUGAGGUAGUGGAUUACCAAGGCUUGCACGGGUAGCCGGCCUGAGAGGGUGAGCAGCCGCACUGGGAGUGAGACACGGUACAGACGCCUACGGAAGGGAGCAGGAGGGAUUCUGGCGGAAUGGGCGGAAGCUUGAGCGAGAAAGGCCGAGGGAGUGAGGAAGGACGUCGGGUGGUAGAUGACGGUUAUCGGGGAGGAAACAAUGUUCGCGUAUGUCGACGCGUGUUGAAGGGAAAUGGGGAAAAAGGCACCGGUAACUUAGUG
rnacentral:rRNA from 1 species